GAGUAAUGUGCUCGCAUGGAUGCGAGCCAAGCCACUCUGGCACAUGGAUGUGCCAGAGUGGCGGU
rfam:Pseudoalteromonas luteoviolacea S4054 contig_34, whole genome shotgun sequence.